CGUCUAUUGUAAAGUUUACUGUUACUGGUAAUGGGGUUUGCCGUCCUUUCCUGAAUGCUGCUACAGUCUUCUUGUCAAUGGAGUAGCCUGCUACUCCAACUCCAUUGGGGCCCUGCUUCUAAAAUUCUGAUAGUGGAUGUCGGUCAGAAUUUUGUGUGAUGACAUGAUCUUUUAUUUGGUUUGGGAUCUGGGCAAUAGACGAAUAACUUUUUUUUUUACGUGCUUUUGAUCUGCAACAGCAGGUUAUGCUGUUGGUUUGUAUCGCAGUCAGUUUCUGAAGUCCUGAAGUCGUCUUCCUCCACCUCGAAGCAAACCAGCAAGCAGUGCGAAGUUAGUCGCCGGCCGGCAGCGUCCCCCUCGCCCCCCAAGUCCCUAGUGGUUGACACUGACAGAGGUCUGCAGAGACUAGCGGCGAUGGCGCCACCCUGCCCCGAACCCUAACCCCACUCCACCACCGGCCAUGGGAUCCCAGCCGCCGGCCUCCCGCGCGGCCCUGGAGCACCUCGCUACGCUUGACCCCGCCGCACUCGCCGGCCUCCCUGUCUCCUCCCCGCUCACCGUCCGCUCCGCCGCCGUCUCCGCCCACCUGCUCUAUCUCGGCACCGGCGGCGGCAAGCUGCUCCUCUUCUCCCUGCAGGAUCCCUCCACUCCUGAGUUCCUCCGCCUCCUCCCCAUCGGCGCCACCCUACCCGUCUCUGCUAUCGUCCCGCUCCCCUCCGUCGCCCGCCUCCUCGUCCUCGCUGACGGCCUCCUCCUCCUCGCCGACCCGCUCCUCUCGCGCCCCGUCCGCCGCCUCGGCUCCCUGCGCAGCGUCACCGCCGUCGCCGCCCGCCGCGUCGUCCUCGCGGACCCAUCAUCAUGCUCCGUCGCCAUCUCCGUCGGGAAGAAGCUGCUCCGUGUCGACUUCACGCUGCACGACGCCGACGAGCUGGAUGUACAGACGCGCGAGAUCGCCUCAGUCGAGGGGGUCAAGGCGCUCGCUUGGGUCGACGAUUCUGUCUUCGUUGCCACUGCCACUGGGUACUCCCUCUACUCGAGCACCAAUGGUCAGGGUGUGGAUAUAUUCUCGCUCCCAGAAUCCGCCGGUCACCCAAGGGUGAAGCCGCUCUCUGGAGGUGACGAGGUGAUGCUCCUGGUCGACAAUGUCGGUGUUGUGGUCGAUAGAUUUGGCCAGCCCGUUGGAAGCAGCUUGGUGUUCAGCACCACGCCCGACUACAUAGCUGAGGUAUUCCCCUAUGUGAUUGUUGCUGGGGACUCCAAGGUCGAUGUGUACAGGAGGAGGAACGCUGCACACCUACAGACCAUUCCGGUUGCCAGGACUGGUCAAGGCGUUCUGAUUGUGGCUGGGGAUGAUGAUGGGAUAGACACGGAGCUAGUUGUGAUCGCUACAACUUAUAAGGUCUUUUGCUACCGUAAAGUAUCUGCAUUGGAGCAGAUUAAGGCAUCUUUACGAAGAAAGAACUACAAGGAAGCUAUUUCUUUGCUAGAAGAGUUUGAGUCGGACGGUGAAAUCUCAAAGGAUAUGAUCUCCUUUGUCCAUGCUCAACUUGGUUUUUUAUUGUUUUUCGACUUGCGUUUCGAGGAUGCUGUGAAUCAUUUCUUGCUAUCGGAGACUAUGCAGCCAUCAGAAGUAUUUCCAUUCAUUAUGCGGGAUCCUAACCGUUGGUCAGAUCUGGUGCCAAGAAAGCGGUAUUGGGGUUUGCACCCUCCCCCUAAGCCCCUUGAAGAAGUUAUUGAUGAUGGACUGGUAACAGUUCAACAGGCAUUGUUUCUGAAAAAGGCAGGUGUGGAUACAGUUGUGGAUGAAGAUUUCCUUUCAAACCCACCAAGUAGAGCUGAUCUUUUGGAACUAGCGAUCAGAAAUAUUAUCAGGUACCUUUGUGCAUCGCGGAUGAAGAAUCUACCUUCUCCAGAGAUGGAAGGAGUUGAUACUCUUCUGAUGUAUCUUUAUAGAGCACUUCAUCUUGUUGAUGACAUGGAGAAGCUCGCAUCAUCUCAGAAUAGCUGUAUUGUGGAUGAACUGGAAUCCCUUUUGGAUGACUCUGGACAUUUGCGGACACUUGCUUUCUUGUAUGGCAGCAAAGGAAUGUGCUCCAAAGCCCUUUCUAUAUGGCGUGUACUGGCAAGGAAUUAUAGUGCAGGUUUGUGGAAGGAUCUGUCUGAGAAUGAUUCUUGUGGAACUUUGGUUACUAAAAGGUCUGGCGAGGAAAUUGCCGCUGUAGAAGCAGCCAAGAUCCUCAAAGCAUUAUCUGAUGAGGACCUUGUUCUGGAACAUCUUGGAUGGGUGGCAGACAUUGAUCAAGAUCUAGCGAUUGCAGUUUUAACAUCUGAGACGAGGGAAAAUCAACUCUCACCAGAAAAGGUUGUUGCUUCUGUUGAUGCAGAAAAGGUUGUGAUUCAUCAAAGAUAUUUGCAGUGGUUGAUUGAGGGUCAGGGCUGCGAUGAUCCUCACUAUCACACAUCAUAUGCUCUUUCACUGGCCAAAUCUGCAAUUGAAGCAGUUGAUAUGGAGUCUAAAUAUAGAGGGAAAGAUGAUAGUGAAAUUGAUUCUGAUGCACAGUUUGUUUAUUCAGUAAGAGAAAGCUUGCAAUUGUUUCUGCAAGCUUCAGACCUGUAUGACCCAGAAGAUGUGCUCGAUGUGAUAGCAGAAUCAGAGCUAUGGCUGGAAAAGGCAAUAUUGUAUAGGAAGAUGGGCCAAGAGAAUAUUGUACUUCAGAUACUAGCAUUGAAGCUGGAGGAUAGUGAAGCUGCUGAGCAGUAUUGCGCAGAGAUUGGUCGAGAUGAUGCUUAUAUUCAGCUUUUGGGCUUGUAUUUGGACCCUCAAAACGGGAAGGAGCCUAUGUUUACAGCAGCUGUACGACUUCUUCAUAAUCAUGGUGAAUCGUUGGACCCCAUACAAGUAUUGGAGAAAUUAUCUCCUGAUAUGCCUCUCCAGCUGGCAUCAGACACAAUUUUACGGACACUGAGGGCCCGAGUGCACCAUCAUCGUCAAGGACAGGUUAAGCUUAUGAGAGAUGCUGUCUUACCAGUUGAAUUUCUUUGCUCCUAUAUGAUCCUUUGCAUGUUUUAGAUAGUCCAUAAUCUAUCACGUGCGACAAACCUGGACGUGCGGUUGACAAGACUGGAGGAGAGAUCGAGGCAUGUGCAGCUAACCGAUGAGAGUAUCUGCGACUCCUGUCGAGCUCGCCUCGGCACCAAGCUAUUUGCUAUGUACCCAAAUGACUCGGUUGUUUGCUACAGGUGCUAUCGAUCCCAGCAAGGUGAAUCUUCAUCAGGGCAUGGUCGUAGCAUGAGGAAAGAUGUUAUAUUCAAACAGAGCUGGCUUGUAAGUAGAUAGAUAGCGAGGAAGGAAUGAAGAGUGGUGAUCUUGAGGCCAGCAUUUGGCUGUGGCUGCUCUGAAAUGGGCACCAAGUUUUUUUGUCUGGAUGGGCUCUCUGGAAACUUGAACAGGGUGUUGUAUAUUCUUUUUGAGGCCAAUGAAUGAAUAUAUACAAAUACAAGCAUACAGCAUA